AUUGAACGCUGGCGGCAGGCUUAACACAUGCAAGUCGAGCGAGCGGCGGACGGGUGAGUAAUGUCUGGGAAACUGCCUGAUGGAGGGGGAUAACUACUGGAAACGGUAGCUAAUACCGCAUACCAUCAGAUGUGCCGAGAUGGGAUUAGCUAGUAGGUGGGGUAAUGGCUCACCUAGGCGACGAUCCCUAGCUGGUCUGAGAGGAUGACCAGCCACACUGGAACUGAGACUCGGUCCAGACUCCUACGAGAGGCAGCAGUGGGGAAUAUUGCACAGUGGGCGCAAGCCGGAUGCAGCCAUGCCGCGUGUGUUAAGUAGGCCUUCAGGUUGUCAUGCACUUUCAGAGAGUAGGCGUUACUCGCAGAAGAGGCACCGGCUAACUCCGUGCCAGCAGCCGCGGUAAUUC
rnacentral:rRNA from 1 species